UUAAAGAUCUCAAUAUGAACGACGCCGAGUUUAAAACUGGGUCGUAAAAAAAAUUUAACCACAGUGGCUACCAAAGCAUUCCGGAGGAGUUUGGGAUUGAAACAGGCUGAUAUGAACGAAAGGAAUGUAGGGACACCGAGCAG